UACGGUGGAGGGCUAGCGUUGUCCGGAAUCAUUGGGCGUAAAGAGCGUGUAGGCGGUCCGGUAAGUCCGCUGUGAAAGUCGGGGGCUCAACCCUCGAAUGCCGGUGGAUACUGUCGGGCUAGAGUGCGGAAGAGGCGAGUGGAAUUCCUGGUGUAGCGGUGAAAGUGCGCAGAUAUCAGGAGGAACACCUAUUGCGAAGGCAGCUCGCUGGGACGUUACUGACGCUGAGACGCGAAAGCGUGGGGAGCAAACAGG
rnacentral:rRNA from 1 species